ensembl:lincRNA
CAGGUCUGAAAGGCGGUCCGGCGCCCGGGCGCGCGUCCCCGGGCCUGUGCCCUCCGCCGCCACAAGGACACCUCGGGCCUCAGAGGGAAGCCUGGACUCGCAGGCACGCGACGACGUCUGGGCAGGACGUGUUUGAUGUGCUGCUUUGGGGUGUACGUUGCUAGGUUGGCUCGCGUUUCUUUCCCUGUGUACGCGAGGCAUGGGACCCAGGAGAGGGUGUACUUUCCCGGUCAUGAGAAGCAUCUGAGUGCGUCUGUUGGAAAUGCAGGUUCCCGGGCGCCCCUCCCUGUGGCUGGAGACUCCGCGGGGGCCUUGCCUUAGUUGAGUCCUAGUUCUUGGUGGCUUCCGCCCUUCCCGCCAGAGAGCCUGGCAGAGCCAUGAUGUCCGUUUUGAUAACAGGACUUGUCGCCCUCUCCAAGACCCUGGGGAUUGACAGCGACGCAGCUACGGUCACUGAAGGAGCGGGGUGUAUUAAAGACGGUGGCCAACACCCACCAAACACGGAAUUCUGCCCUGUGACUUCUCACCAGGUCCUGACACAGCCCGCAUUCCGCGGGCCAGUGAACCAGUGUGUGAGAAAACUCCCAUUACCGGCUUCUGCUACGUCCAGAUCUCACUUCCAGAAUCCGUGCUUCACUUCAUGAGGUUUCUCAGUACUCACUUCAAGGGCACCCAAAGAAGAAGAAUGCUUUGGGGGAAUCAGGGGCUCAUGGGUGCUCCGGAUCAGAAGGGACAUGAAGAUCAUUUAGACCAUCUCCCUCCAACCCCAUCUAUACUCACCUGUGGCUCCCUAUCAACUGACCAUCCCAUAUCUCUUUGUAUACCUACUGUGAUGGGGAACUCCUUACUCAAGAGAGCCCAUUCUUAAGUGUCCCAGGGGACUGACAAUACCCAGGAGGAACAGAGAGCCACCCCACAGCCAGAAUGCCAGUCACAGAGAUAGCCCCACUGGCUGUACUUGCCUGUCUUUUGGGGCAGGCUGAAUAAACAGGCAGUACUCCGAAAAAGGCAAACUGGGAAUCUCAAAAACAAACAUGAACUUACAAGAAUGACCAAAUAUUUGAAGAUCCUCCUUCAUUCAAGAAAUAAAGCUUAAUCUCCUUCUCUUUUCGUGUUGGCUGGGCUGGGAGGCUCAUUCUAAUGAAUAAAAUAUGGCCAAAGUCACCGUGAGUGAGCUCUGAGACUAAAUCACGAAAGGCAGGAGUGACUCAGGUCACUCACUCUGAAGAAAACCAGCUGCCGUGAGGACGCUCCAGCAGUCUAAUGGGGGUGGGCGGAGGUGGGACGUGGAGGUCUGCUGCCAUCAGCCAUGGGAGUGAGCCGUCUUGGAAGCAGAGCUGCCCACCCAGUCAAGGUUUGGCAGCCCCGGGAAGAGACCCCAUGGCCAACCCACCCAGCAAGGCUGCUCCCUAAUUCCUCACCCACAGAAACUGCAUGAAAUGAUAUUUAUUGUUUUGAGCCACUGAUCUGUGGGGUAAUUUUUACACAGUAUUAGAUAACUAAUGCACUUAACAAAGCAAACAUCCUAUUUCCACCGGAAAGUUUCCAAGGAGUCUAAUAUCAAGGCCACCUGCCUUCUUGUGUGAACUCCGAAUAUAAGUUAUAAAUGGAGGGGGGGCACCUGGUGGCUCAGUCGGUUGGGCAUCUGACUCUUGGUUUCGGCUCAAGCCAUGAUCUCAGAGUCGU